rnacentral:rRNA from 1 species
CGACUCUSGGCAACGGAUAUCUCGGCUCACGCAUCGAUGAAGAACGUAGCAAAAUGCGAUACUUGGUGUGAAUUGCAGAAUCCCGUGAACCAUCGAGUUUUUGAACGCAAGUUGCGCCCGAAGCCUUUUGGCCGAGGGCACGUCUGCCUGGGCGUCACGCA